GCAGGUGGUGUUCUUGAGGUUGAUCUGCUGCUUGCAAUCGGCUGAGUAACUGCAGAGGGUGAGGCAGUAACGGAGGUCUGGACUGGAUCUGGGGUUGUUGCUACAGGAUGGUCUGUUGUGUGUUUGUGUAAAUACUGAUGCAGACUCAGUUUGUGAUGGUUUUGAUUCAGUUGAUGAGAGAAAUGGAGCUGGGGUACUGUGUGAUCUCUUCUGGUAUCAGCUGGUGUUAGAUGUGUAUGAUCAGAAUUAGGCAGUUUGGUUGAAGAUUCCGUAUUUGAUUGAUAGCACAAAGGGGAAGGAGUUCCUAUUUCCUCAUCUUCACCUCUCAUCUCCAUUAUAUCUGAUCUCCAAAAAUAGCUGAAGUUUGCUUUUGUUCCUGUUCUACCGUCAACUUUCAACAGUUCUCUGCUCCUUCUUUCUUGGUAACUUUGUUUUUCUACCAAUCCCUACAUAUUAAUGAUACAAUUGCUUAUGAUUUGUUCAUCUUGUAUGAGUAAGUUUUCAGCUAAGUUUAGUCUUGAUUAUUUUUCAAACUCUCCGUCUCAUUAAAUAAGUUUAAAUAGAUUCAAAGUUUAGGAGAAAAACUGAAGCUUUGUCAG